rnacentral:rRNA from 1 species
UACGUAGGGCGCAAGCGUUGUUCGGAAUUACUGGGCGUAAAGCGCGCGCAGGCGGUCUUCCAAGUCAGUGGUGAAAGCCCGGAGCUCAACUCCGGAACUGCCAUUGAAACUGUUGGACUUGAGUACGAGAGAGGUGAGUGGAAUUCCCAGUGUAGAGGUGAAAUUCGUAGAUAUUGGGAAGAACACCGGUGGCGAAGGCGGCUCACUGGCCCGUUUCUGACGCUCAGGCGCGACAGCGUGGGGAUCAAACAGG